GAUUAAGCCAUGCAUGUGUAAGUAUAAAUAGUUAACUUUGAAACUACGAAUGGCUCAUUAUAUCAGUUAUAGUUUAUUUGAUGAAAAAUACUAAUUGGAUAACCGUAGUAAUUCUAGAGCUAAUACAUGUAUAAAGUCUUGUAGACUGCAUUUAUUAGAAUGAAAACCAUAGGUUUCGGCCUAUUCGUGAGUAAUAAUAACUAAUCAUAUCGUAUGCUUAUGUAACGAUGUGUCUUUCAAGUUUCUGCCCUAUCAGCUUUCGAUGGUAGUGUAUUGGACUACCAUG
rnacentral:rRNA from 1 species